UGCCAGCCGCCGCGGUAAUACGAAGGGUGCUAGCGUUGUUCGGAAUUACUGGGCGUAAAGAGCAUGUAGGCGGUUUAUUAAGUUGGAUGUGAAAGCCCCGGGCUCAACCUGGGAAUGCCAUUCAAAACUGUAUGUCUAGAGAGUAAUAGAGGUAAGUGGAAUUUCCGGUGUAGCGGUGAAAUGCGUAGAUAUCGGAAGGAACAUCAGUGGCGAAGGCGACUUACUGGAUUAUUUCUGACACUGAGGCGCGAAAGCGUGGGGAGCGAACAGGAUUAGAUA
rnacentral:rRNA from 1 species